rnacentral:piRNA from 1 species
AGAAAUACAUGAUGACUGUUGGG